rnacentral:rRNA from 1 species
ACGGAGGGUGCAAACGUUGCUCGGAAUCAUUGGGCGUAAAGCGCGCGUAGGCGGUUGGACAAGUUGGAUGUGAAAGCCCUGGGCUCAACCCAGGAUGUGCAUUCAAAACUGUCCGACUUGAAUCUCGGAGGGGGUCAGAGAAUUCCCGGUGUAGAGGUGAAAUUCGUAGAUAUCUGGAGGAACACCGGUGGCGAAGGCGGCAUCCUGGACCAACACUGACGCUGAGGAGCGAAAGCCAGGGGAGCAAACGGGA